rnacentral:rRNA from 1 species
UUAAAUUGAAGAGUUUGAUCAUGGCUCAGAUUGAACGCUGGCGGCAGGCCUAACACAUGCAAGUCGAACGGUAACAGGAAGCAGCUUGCUGCUUUGCUGACGAGUGGCGGACGGGUGAGUAAUGUCUGGGAAACUGCCUGAUGGAGGGGGAUAACUACUGGAAACGGUGGCUAAUACCGCAUAACGUCGCAAGACCAAAGAGGGGGACCUUCGGGCCUCUUGCCAUCAGAUGUGCCCAGAUGGGAUUAGCUUGUUGGUGAGGUAACGG